rnacentral:rRNA from 1 species
AGCAGUGGGGAAUUUUGGACAAUGGGCGCAAGCCUGAUCCAGCCAUGCCGCGUGCGGGAAGAAGGCCUUCGGGUUGUAAACCGCUUUUGUCAGGGAAGAAAAGGUUCUGGUUAAUACCUGGGACUCAUGACGGUACCUGAAGAAUAAGCACCGGCUAACUACGUGCCAGCAGCCGCGGUAAUACGUAGGGUGCAAGCGUUAAUCGGAAUUACUGGGCGUAAAGCGUGCGCAGGCGGUUAUGCAAGACAGAGGUGAAAUCCCCGGGCUCAACCUGGGAACUGCCUUUGUGACUGCAUAGCUAGAGUACGGUAGAGGGGGAUGGAAUUCCGCGUGUAGCAGUGAAAUGCGUAGAUAUGCGGAGGAACACCGAUGGCGAAGGCAAUCCCCUGGACCUGUACUGACGCUCAUGCACGAAAGCGUGGGGAGCAAACAGGAUUAGAUACCCUGGUAGUCCACGCCCUAAACGAUGUCAACUGGUUGUUGGGAGGGUUUCUUCUCAGUAACGUAGCUAACGCGUGAAGU